rnacentral:misc_RNA from 1 species
UUAUUGGCAUUCCAGAGCAGACACCUCUGCUGGGUCUGGCUGUCUGUGCAUAAGCUCUAUGUCAGAUAUCCCAUGUGAAUCCAUUUCCAUCGUCGCCGUAAUGCAUUCAACUUGUACCGGAAGACAAACAGCUCCAUUCAAUUUUGUAACCUGUUGGCGGCACCUGAAUUCACUCCUAGGAAUAUCAAACUACUAACACGUUCCUCUUCGCCCUUCUUAAAUGUAAUCUCAUAGAAAAGGUUUGACGUGAGAUGGCAAAACGUAUUGCAACCCUUAUCAAUUUUCAUCUGGAUUCCGAGAAUUUCAUUGCAAUGCAGUGCAAUGGUUACUGUGAUGCGGAACGAGAGAAUGUCAAACUGGUUCACUAGGGGUUGAUGCCAAUUCUAUCAGUAAAAGUCGCCCCAUUCUUUUCUAUUCGAAGAAAAUCGUCUUGUAACCUGAAGGACUUCCAACCAAUUUUUUUACCAGACAAAUAUUCAAGUGGGGUGCUCAUUUAACGCUUUUUUAUUUUUCGCAAUCUUCUGCAAACAUUUUAUUUUAAAAGGAUAAUAACUAAUGGAUGUAAUUAGCAGCCGGUUGAAAACUAUUCUCGUCCGAUAUUCUUAGUUGCGUAGUCUUGUUUUUUUAGGGCUUUGCUACCAAGUUUAAAUUUAGAUAGUCGCCAUAGUGCUACUUGUGCGUAAAACGUGACUCGUGUUCUCGAAAAACGUAUAUUGACAAGGUCACUUUCUUGUAUGUUCCAAGUCGACGGAGACUCCUACGAAGAACACAUAUUGAUUGCAAACAAAAAUAAUAGCACUUACCCCCUUUUUUUUCUAUCACUCAACAACUUUCACAAUAUUCCAUGAUUGAUUUUUUUUAAAACCUUCACUCAAGAUAAAAAAAAUCUUUGACUUUCCAUUCCGCGCUAGCGUCUUUUAAGUUUCUAUUUCUGUCACUGGUGUAAGAAUAACGCACAAAAGGUUUGCUGAGAUAACUGGAAGUAAAAUUCUUAAAUAUUUUCUACACAAGUCGCAUUUCCAGAAGUCUUUAACUGAUAUUAUCUAUAUGAAACAUGUGUUUUCAAGCGCAUGCAUCAGCUGCAUAGCGUUUUGGAGAAAUGAACGUAAUCCAUCAACCGCACACUCGUCAAGUAUAGUCCAUCCGUCGUUGAAAAACUAACUGAAAGACAAUUAUGGAAAAAAACAAGUUAAAAUCAAUAUUAUGCCUCUCUUUCGAUUUAUUCGAAUGUGCAGCUUCCACAUAACAGGAUUUGUUGUAUAACAGUUGUUCGAAUCCGAAUGUCUCUCGAUUAGCGACGGGAGUUGGCCCUGAAGCUGAACUAUAAAAACCUCCGGUUACAACCAGUUAGUCGCAUACAUUCCUCCAAGCUUAGACUGUGACGACAAACGUUCUGUCGCUUCCGAAUUGGUUCGACGUCUAUCUAGCUGCAGCUGGGAGUAACCCUCCGAUACUUUCAAAUGUUAUCUUUAGGCUCGGCUCUACUUCCUGUCGUCCUUGUAAUGUGCGUGUGGAAUAGCAAGGCAACUGUCCGCGGAAAAAAUUUGAACGGACCUGAUCGUUGCAAGAUUGGAUGUUUACUGGACGACUAUUAUCCGCUCUGUGGAACAGACAACAAGACUUACACCAACAAUUGCUUUCUCUAUCUGAAAAACAACUGCGAAAAGCCUCCCUUUUCAAAGGUCCACAAGGCAUACGACGGCGUGUGCGUGUCCGGUCAACAAGGAUGUGAACUGCCCUGUAACGGUCCUGGAUAUUCGUUCAACCCAAUUUGCGGAUCCAACGGCAAGACUUAUGACAACGAGUGUGAGCUGAACGGCAGAAACAAGUGCGAUGGGACCAAGAUCGAAAAAGUUCACGACGGAGAAUGUGAACCGAGUCAACCCGAAGCGAUCCCUUAUCUAUAAAGAAGAAGACUACCGUGGAUUGUAUAGCUCGCUAUGUGAUGGGGGGCAAGGAUUGAGCGGCAAAAUGUACCCGACUAUUAAUUACGCCAUUUUACUGCUGGAAUCACGUGGAUACCAUCGUGAUAAGAGUUGAACCAGAGAAUCCAGUUCAAGUGAAUUUAAAUGAUAAGUAAAUCUUGGUUUAAUUGCCUAGUAAUAUCUAAAUUUGUCUGUUUGGACAACAGACGAACCGAACCUGUUAUUGUUCUUGACAUAAUAAUUCAAAAUGAUUUAUAGAAAAUUUUAUAUGAUUUUAUUUGAAUAUUGUUGUGAAAAUGAUCCGUCAGUGGAAUAAAAAUAAUGUUGGACCAACACCCCGCGGGUAUUUAAAAUAAA